UAUAUUUUCAUUCUAAAAAAAUUUUCAAUAUAUUUUUUAUAUUAUUAACAAAUCAAAUAUGAUUAUUUUUUGCUAUAUUUUUAUAUUUUUAUUUAUAAAUUUAGUUUGUAAUUUACUAUAAUUUUUAUCAGCCGCAUCGCGUGGGUUCCCACACUAGUCUUUAUUAUUUCUUGACAAUCUAACUAAUGUUAGUUACUUAAUAGAAUAUGUACUUACCUAUAACGCCCUGGUUAUAAUGCACGACUUUUUAGAGGGAACUCAUCCUAAAAUUACUCUAACCAUAACAUAUUUAACCCUUUUAAUCUCUUAGGUUUAAUUGCCGCGAAAAUACUAUAAUUGGAUUAAGUAGUUUUAGUUCUAUUAAAUUUUAUAUAUAGAACUAUUCCAAAUUCUAGGAGUGCCAAAUUCCUCCCUCUUUUAAGCCAUGAUGUGUUCGUCAAGCUCAAGCACACUCAUAAGUGCCGGGCAAUAUGAGAUUCAUCUUGCUAGCAAUCUCGCUAGCCUUAGCCGAUCUUGUGGGGAGCCACGCUCUACUUACAAUAGUCGUCAGUCAGAGAAUCGCACUCUACCCGCUGUAUGACCCUAUCUCUGUGAGACCCCAGAUAGUCCUAUAUAUGAGAUAUAAUAGGGCUAAAUUCUUAACCCGGCUUAAGCAUUUUGGAUGGUGGCAAGGCCCAAGAGGUUAAGAGAGUUAAGCAUGCUAGGACGGGAGUAGUCCUAGGAUGGGUGACCCCCUGGGAAGUUGGGCCGUCACAGUUGGUAUCAGAGCCAAUUACCAGCCGGAAGUGUGAGAUGAGUCUCGGCUGAGCCAGGGUCUGGAUGACGGGCUAGCGAGAUGAGUCUCAUAUCGCCUGGUACUUGUGAGUCUGAGCCUGACGAGGAUGUCAGGGCUUAAAGGAGGGGAGAUUGUGAGACCCCAGAUAGUCCUAUAUAUGAAAUAUAAUAGGGCUAAACUCUUAACCCGGCUUAAGCAUUUUGGGUGGUGGCAAGGCCCAAGAGGUUAAGAGAGUUAAGCGUGCUAGGACGGGAGUAGUCCUAGGAUGGGUGACCCCCUGGGAAGUUGGGGCGUCACA
rnacentral:lncRNA from 1 species